rnacentral:rRNA from 1 species
AGUGAACGCUGGCGGUAGGCCUAACACAUGCAAGUCGAACGGCAGCACAGGAGAGCUUGCUCUCUGGGUGGCGAGUGGCGGACGGGUGAGGAAUACAUCGGAAUCUACUCUGUCGUGGGGGAUAACGUAGGGACACUUACGCUAAUACCGCAUACGACCUACGGGUGAAAGCAGGGGAUCAUCGGACCUUGCGCGAGUGAAUGAGCCGAUGUCGGAUUAGCUAGUUGGCGGGGUAAAGGCCCACGAAGGCGACGAUCCGUAGCUGGUCUGAGAGGAUGAUCAGCACCACUGGAACUGAGACACGGUCCAGGCUCCUACGGGAGGCAGCAGUGGGGAAUAUUGGACAAUGGCGCAAGCCUGAUCCAGCCAUACCGCGUGGGUGAAGAAGGCCUUCGGGUUGUAAAGCCCUUUUGUUGGGAAAGAAAUCCAGCUGGUUAAUACCCGGUUGGGAUGACGGUACCCAAAGAAUAAGCUCCGGCUAACUUCGUGCCAGCCGCCGCAGUAA